GUUAUAUGGUCAAGUGAAGAAGCGCAUACGGUGGAUGCCUUGGCAGUCAGAGGCGAUGAAAGACGUGGUAGCCUGCGAAAAGCUUCGGGGAGUCGGCAAACAGACUUUGAUCCGGAGAUCUCUGAAUGGGGGAACCCACCUAGGAUAACCUAGGUAUCUUGUACUGAAUCCAUAGGUGCAAGAGGCGAACCAGGGGAACUGAAACAUCUAAGUACCCUGAGGAAAAGAAAUCAACCGAGAUUCCCUUAGUAGUGGCGAGCGAACGGGGAUUAGCCCUUAAGCUUCAUUGAUUUUAGCGGAACGCUCUGGAAAGUGCGGCCAUAGUGGGUGAUAGCCCCGUACGCGAAAGGAUCUUUGAAGUGAAAUCGAGUAGGACGGAGCACGAGAAACUUUGUCUGAACAUGGGGGGACCAUCCUCCAAGGCUAAAUACUACUGACUGACCGAUAGUGAACCAGUACCGUGAGGGAAAGGCGAAAAGAACCCCGGAGAGGGGAGUGAAAUAGAACCUGAAACCGUAUGCGUACAAGCAGUGGGAGCCUACUUGUUAGGUGACUGCGUACCUUUUGUAUAAUGGGUCAGCGACUUAUAUUCAGUGGCAAGCUUAACCGUAUAGGGUAGGCGUAGCGAAAGCGAGUCUUAAUAGGGCGUUUAGUCGCUGGGUAUAGACCCGAAACCGGGCGAUCUAUCCAUGAGCAGGUUGAAGGUUAGGUAACACUGACUGGAGGACCGAACCCACUCCCGUUGAAAAGGUAGGGGAUGACUUGUGGAUCGGAGUGAAAGGCUAAUCAAGCUCGGAGAUAGCUGGUUCUCCUCGAAAGCUAUUUAGGUAGCGCCUCAUGUAUCACUCUGGGGGGUAGAGCACUGUUUCGGCUAGGGGGUCAUCCCGACUUACCAAACCGAUGCAAACUCCGAAUACCCAGAAGUGCCGAGCAUGGGAGACACACGGCGGGUGCUAACGUCCGUCGUGAAAAGGGAAACAACCCAGACCGCCAGCUAAGGUCCCAAAGUUGUGGUUAAGUGGUAAACGAUGUGGGAAGGCUUAGACAGCUAGGAGGUUGGCUUAGAAGCAGCCAUCCUUUAAAGAAAGCGUAAUAGCUCACUAGUCGAGUCGGCCUGCGCGGAAGAUGUAACGGGGCUCAAACCACACACCGAAGCUGCGGGUGUCACGUAAGUGACGCGGUAGAGGAGCGUUCUGUAAGCCUGUGAAGGUGAGUUGAGAAGCUUGCUGGAGGUAUCAGAAGUGCGAAUGCUGACAUGAGUAACGACAAUGGGUGUGAAAAACACCCACGCCGAAAGACCAAGGGUUCCUGCGCAACGUUAAUCGACGCAGGGUUAGUCGGUUCCUAAGGCGAGGCUGAAAAGCGUAGUCGAUGGGAAACAGGUUAAUAUUCCUGUACUUCUGGUUACUGCGAUGGAGGGACGGAGAAGGCUAGGCCAGCUUGGCGUUGGUUGUCCAAGUUUAAGGUGGUAGGCUGAAAUCUUAGGUAAAUCCGGGGUUUCAAGGCCGAGAGCUGAUGACGAGUCGUCUUUUAGAUGACGAAGUGGUUGAUGCCAUGCUUCCAAGAAAAGCUUCUAAGCUUCAGGUAACCAGGAACCGUACCCCAAACCGACACAGGUGGUCGGGUAGAGAAUACCAAGGCGCUUGAGAGAACUCGGGUGAAGGAACUAGGCAAAAUGGCACCGUAACUUCGGGAGAAGGUGCGCCGGCUAGGGUGAAGGAUUUACUCCGUAAGCUCUGGCUGGUCGAAGAUACCAGGCCGCUGCGACUGUUUAUUAAAAACACAGCACUCUGCAAACACGAAAGUGGACGUAUAGGGUGUGACGCCUGCCCGGUGCCGGAAGGUUAAUUGAUGGGGUUAGCGCAAGCGAAGCUCUUGAUCGAAGCCCCGGUAAACGGCGGCCGUAACUAUAACGGUCCUAAGGUAGCGAAAUUCCUUGUCGGGUAAGUUCCGACCUGCACGAAUGGCGUAACGAUGGCGGCGCUGUCUCCACCCGAGACUCAGUGAAAUUGAAAUCGCUGUGAAGAUGCAGUGUAUCCGCGGCUAGACGGAAAGACCCCGUGAACCUUUACUGUAGCUUUGCACUGGACUUUGAGCCUGCUUGUGUAGGAUAGGUGGGAGGCUUUGAAGCGUGGACGCCAGUUCGCGUGGAGCCAUCCUUGAAAUACCACCCUGGCAUGCUUGAGGUUCUAACUCUGGUCCGUGAUCCGGAUCGAGGACAGUGUAUGGUGGGCAGUUUGACUGGGGCGGUCUCCUCCUAAAGAGUAACGGAGGAGUACGAAGGUGCGCUCAGACCGGUCGGAAAUCGGUCGCAGAGUAUAAAGGCAAAAGCGCGCUUGACUGCGAGACAGACACGUCGAGCAGGUACGAAAGUAGGUCUUAGUGAUCCGGUGGUUCUGUAUGGAAGGGCCAUCGCUCAACGGAUAAAAGGUACUCCGGGGAUAACAGGCUGAUACCGCCCAAGAGUUCAUAUCGACGGCGGUGUUUGGCACCUCGAUGUCGGCUCAUCACAUCCUGGGGCUGAAGCCGGUCCCAAGGGUAUGGCUGUUCGCCAUUUAAAGUGGUACGCGAGCUGGGUUUAGAACGUCGUGAGACAGUUCGGUCCCUAUCUGCCGUGGACGUUUGAGAUUUGAGAGGGGCUGCUCCUAGUACGAGAGGACCGGAGUGGACGAACCUCUGGUGUUCCGGUUGUCACGCCAGUGGCAUUGCCGGGUAGCUAUGUUCGGAAAAGAUAACCGCUGAAAGCAUCUAAGCGGGAAA
rnacentral:rRNA from 1 species